AAGCGGUGGAGCAUGUGGUUUAAUCGAUGAUACGCGAAGAACCUUACCGGGGUUUGACAUGCAGGUGAUCGCCGUUGAAAGACGGUUUCCUCUUCGGAGGCACCUGCACAGGUGCUACAUGGCUGUCGUCAGCUCGUGUCGUGAGAUGUUGGGUUAAGUCCCGCAACGAGCGCAACCCUUGUGACUAGUUGCCAGCACGUAAUGGUGGGAACUCUAGUCAGACUGCCCAGAUCAACUGGGAGGAAGGUGGGGACGACGUCAGGUCAGUAUGGCCCUUACGCCUUGGGCUGCACACGUACUACAAUGCCCAGUACAAUGAGAACCGAUACCGCGAGGUGGAGGAAAUCUGUAAAACUGGGCCCAGUUCGGAUUGGAGGCUGCAACUCGCCUCCAUGAAGUUGGAAUCGCUAGUAAUGGCGCAUCAUCUACGGCGCCGUGAAUACGUUCCCGGGUCUU
rnacentral:rRNA from 1 species